CGCUCUCUGCAACUUUUUACUCUAUGAGAAUAAGGUAUAGAGAGUCGGACCUGCCCAGUGACAAUUGCUUGUUAAACGGCCGCGGUACUCUGACCGUGCAAAGGUAGCAUAAUCAUUUGCCUUUUAAUUGAAGGCUUGUAUGAAUGGUUUGACGAAGGCUAAGCUGUCUCUUUUUAAUUAUAAAAAAACUAACUUUUAGGUGAAGAGGCCUAAAUUUAACUGAGGGACAAGAAGACCCCAUUGAGCUUUAGUGGUUUAAUAAAAUAUAUAACUAGUGUUGGGAUGACAUCAACUUUAGUGAUGCUGCAUUAUUUUGUAAGCGUUUUUUAUUAAAAAUCUUUAGUUGGGGCGACUGAGGAACAUACAAAGCUUCCUUUUGAAAAUGAGCUUUUGGUAAUCAAACUAAUCGAAUAGAUCCAGCAUUUUGCUGAUCAAAGGAAAAAGUUACCAUGGGGAUAACAGCGUAAUCUUUCUGGAGAGUUCUUAUCGAAAGAAGGGUUUGCGACCUCGAUGUUGGACUAAGAUAUCCUAGGGGUGUAGGCGCUCCUAACGGUUAGUCUGUUCGACUAUUAAAAUCUU
rnacentral:rRNA from 1 species